rnacentral:rRNA from 1 species
GAUGAACGCUGGCGGCGUGCCUAAUACAUGCAAGUCGAGCGAACAGAUGAGGAGCUUGCUCCUCUGACGUUAGCGGCGGACGGGUGAGUAACACGUGGAUAACCUACCUAUAAGACUGGGAUAACUUCGGGAAACCGGAGCUAAUACCGGAUAAUAUAUUGAACCGCAUGGUUCAAUAGUAAAAGACGGUUUUGCUGUCACUUAUAGAUGGAUCCGCGCCGCAUUAGCUAGUUGGUAAGGUAACGGCUUACCAAGGCGACGAUGCGUAGCCGACCUGAGAGGGUGAUCGGCCACACUGGAACUGAGACACGGUCCAGACUCCUACGGGAGGCAGCAGUAGGGAAUCUUCCGCAAUGGGCGAAAGCUUGACGGAGCAACGCCGCGUGAGUGAUGAAGGUCUUCGGAUCGUAAAACUCUGUUAUUAGGGAAGAACAAAUGUGUAAGUAACUAUGCACGUCUUGACGGUACCUAAUCAGAAAGCCACGGCUAACUACGUG